ACUGAAUAAAACUCUUCUAUCGAUUCUUUUUGUAAUUGAUUAAUCUAGCACUUAAUCGAUCGAUUAAUCGAGUAAUCGGAUAAUUUGUUUGUGUGUUUUUAAGCGACCAAA